ACCGCGAUAUCUCAGCUGAGAGAGCAUCUGCCCGGUAGGCUGAGUGUCGCCGGUUCAACUCCGGCUCGCGGCG
rnacentral:tRNA from 1 species